GUUCAGGAUGAACGCUAGCUACAGGCUUAACACAUGCAAGUCUAGGGGCAGCAUGGUCUUAGCUUGCUAAGGCCGAUGGCGGCCGGCGCACGGGUGAGUAACACGUAUCCAACCUGCCGUCUACUCUUGGACAGCCUUCUGAAAGGAAGAUUAAUACAAGAUGGCAUCAUGAGUCCGCAUGUUCACAUGAUUAAAGGUAUUCCGGUAGACGAUGGGGAUGCGUUCCAUUAGAUAGUAGGCGGGGUAACGGCCCACCUAGUCUUCGAUGGAUAGGGGUUCUGAGAGGAAGGUCCCCCACAUUGGAACUGAGACACGGUCCAAACUCCUACGGGAGGCAGCAGUGAGGAAUAUUGGUCAAUGGGCGAGAGCCUGAACCAGCCAAGUAGCGUGAAGGAUGACUGCCCUAUGGGUUGUAAACUUCUUUUAUAAAGGAAUAAAGUCGGGUAUGGAUACCCGUUUGCAUGUACUUUAUGAAUAAGGAUCGGCUAACUCCGUGCCAGCAGCCGCGGUAAUACGGAGGAUCCGAGCGUUAUCCGGAUUUAUUGGGUUUAAAGGGAGCGUAGAUGGAUGUUUAAGUCAGUUGUGAAAGUUUGCGGCUCAACCGUAAAAUUGCAGUUGAUACUGGAUAUCUUGAGUGCAGUUGAGGCAGGCGGAAUUCGUGGUGUAGCGGUGAAAUGCUUAGAUAUCACGAAGAACUCCGAUUGCGAAGGCAGCCUGCUAAGCUGCAACUGACAUUGAGGCUCGAAAGUGUGGGUAUCAAACAGGAUUAGAUACCCUGGUAGUCCACACGGUAAACGAUGAAUACUCGCUGUUUGCGAUAUACAGCAAGCGGCCAAGCGAAAGCGUUAAGUAUUCCACCUGGGGAGUACGCCGGCAACGGUGAAACUCAAAGGAAUUGACGGGGGCCCGCACAAGCGGAGGAACAUGUGGUUUAAUUCGAUGAUACGCGAGGAACCUUACCCGGGCUUAAAUUGCAGAUGAAUUACGGUGAAAGCCGUAAGCCGCAAGGCAUCUGUGAAGGUGCUGCAUGGUUGUCGUCAGCUCGUGCCGUGAGGUGUCGGCUUAAGUGCCAUAACGAGCGCAACCCUUGUUGUCAGUUACUAACAGGUUCCGCUGAGGACUCUGACAAGACUGCCAUCGUAAGAUGUGAGGAAGGUGGGGAUGACGUCAAAUCAGCACGGCCCUUACGUCCGGGGCUACACACGUGUUACAAUGGGGGGUACAGAGGGCCGCUACCACGCGAGUGGAUGCCAAUCCCAAAAACCUCUCUCAGUUCGGACUGGAGUCUGCAACCCGACUCCACGAAGCUGGAUUCGCUAGUAAUCGCGCAUCAGCCACGGCGCGGUGAAUACGUUCCCGGGCCUUGUACACACCGCCCGUCAAGCCAUGGGAGCCGGGGGUACAUGGAGUGCGUAACCGCGAGGAGCGCCAUA
rnacentral:rRNA from 1 species